GACGAACCGUCCUAACGUUGUUCGGAAUCACUGGGCUUAAAGGGCGCGUAGGCGGCCCUUCGAGUCGGGGGUGAAAUCCCACGGCCCAACCGUGGAAGGGCCUCCGAUACUGAAGGGCUCGAGGGAGGUAGGGGCAGGUGGAACUUCCGGUGGAGCGGUGAAAUGCGUUGAUAUCGGAAGGAACGCCGGUGGCGAAAGCGACCUGCUGGACCUCUUCUGACGCUGAGGCGCGAAAGCCAGGGGAGCGAACGGGAUUAGAUACCCCGGUAGUCCUGGCCCUAAACGAUGGGUACUAGGUUGUGGACUGGUCAUGGGUUCACAGCCGAAGCAAAAGUGUUAAGUACCCCGCCUGGGGAGUAUGGUCGCAAGGCUGAA
rnacentral:rRNA from 1 species